GAUUAACGCUGGCGGCGUGCAUAACACAUGCAAGUCGAACGAUGAAACUCAUUAGAUUUCUUCGGAAUGAAAAUGAAUGGAUUAGUGGCGAACGGGUGAGUAACGCGUGAGUAACCUGCCUUACACAAGGGGAUAGCCUCUGGAAACGGAGAAUAAUACCCUAUGAAACCAGACAAUCGCAUGAUAAUCUGGUCAAAAUGUUUAGUGGUGUAAGAUGGACUUGCGUCUGAUUAGCUAGUUGGUGAGAUAAAAGCUCACCAAGGCAACGAUCAGUAGCCGGCUUGAGAGAGUGUACGGCCACAUUGGGACUGAGACACGGCCCAGACUCCUACGGGAGGCAGCAGUGGGGAAUUUUGCACAAUGGGGGAAACCCUGAUGCAGCGACGCCGCGUGAUUUAGAAGGCCUUCGGGUUGUAAAAAUCUUUUGUAUAGGAAGAAAAUGACAGUACUAUACGAAUAAGGUCCGGCUAAUUACGUA
rnacentral:rRNA from 1 species